CAGUACCGCGGUAACACGAGGGGUGCAAGCGUUAUUCGGAUUGAUUGGGUGUAAAGGGUGUGCAGACGGCUUAUUAAGUCACUUGUUAAAUUCUUCGGCCUAACUGAAGGUCUGCAAGUGAUACUGAUGAGCUAGAGGGUGGAAGAGAGAAGUGGAAUUCUCGGAGUAGCGGUGAAAUGCGCAGAGAUGUGGAGGAACACCAGUGGCGAAGGCGACUCUCUGGUCUGUAACUGACGCUGAGGAGCGAAAGCGUGGGGAGCGAACAGGAUUAGAUACCCCCGUAGUCCCUGUCUCUUAUACC
rnacentral:rRNA from 1 species